AUCAUCAAGACAAUUGGGAGGGGACAUUUGCAGUUGUUUUAAGGACCAAAUGUCUAAAGGAUGGAAAGUACUAUGUCUGUAAGACAGUAAAACAGCCUCUAGAAAGUAACCAGGGCCUGUCCCUACCCCACGUCCUCCUUCUGCACUGCCAGGAUCCACCGUGAACGCCUCCCUGCCAUCGUAUCCAGGACCUGCCACUCACCGUGACAGAAGCAGCCCAGAGAGGAGUCCCAUCACCAGGCCUUGGACAGCUGCACCGUGCCCCCUGCUGGGUAGUACCAGUGAUUUGGUGUUGUUCCUAUUUGUUUA